CCUACGGGAGGCAGCAGUGGGGAAUUUUGGACAAUGGGGGCAACCCUGAUCCAGCCAUGCCGCGUGUGUGAAGAAGGCCUUCGGGUUGUAAAGCACUUUCGGACGGAACGAAAUCGCGCGGGUGAAUAAUCCGCGUGGAUGACAGUACCGUAGGAAGAAGCACCGGCUAACUACGUGCCAGCAGCCGCGGUAAUACGUAGGGUGCGAGCGUUAAUCGGAAUUACUGGGCGUAAAGCGUGCGCAGGCGGCGCCGCAAGUCAGGCGUGAAAUCCCCGAGCUUAACUUGGGAAUGGCGCUUGAAACUACGGUGCUGGAGUGUGGCAGAGGGAGGUGGAAUUCCACGUGUAGCGGUGAAAUGCGUAGAGAUGUGGAGGAACACCGAUGGCGAAGGCAGCCUUCUGGGCCAACACUGACGCUCAUGCACGGAAGCGUGGGGAGCAAACAGGAUUAGAUACCCUGGUAGUCCACGCCCUAAACGAUGAUGACUAGUUGUUGGGGGAGUUAAAUCCCUUAGUAACGCAGCUAACGCGUGAAGUCAUCCGCCUGGGGAGUACGGUCGCAAGAUUAAAACUCAAAGGAAUUGACGG
rnacentral:rRNA from 1 species